AAAUUAAGGAUUCUUUGACAAAAGCAAAGUUUGAAGGACACAAUUAUUAUUUCAAUAAAAAAAUCAUUAUUUAUAACCUUGUCAAUGUCUUGACUAUAUUUCCUAUUCAUUUUUCAACUCAUUUCAUGUAUGUUUUCAUGGAAAAUAAGGACAUUUCUAAGUCACAGAUCAUUUAGAGGAGGCUGGGUUGCUGUAGUUUAUCACAGAUCAUUUAGAGGAGGCUGGGUUGCAGUAGUUUAUCACAGAUCAUUUAGAGGAGGCUGGGUUGCUGUAGUUUAUUACAGAUCAUUUAGAGGAGGCUGGGUUGCUGUAGUUUAUUACAGAUCAUUUAGAGGAGGCUGGGUUGCUGUAGUUUCUUACAGAUCAUUUAGAGGAGGCUGGGUUGCUGUAGUUUAUCACAGAUCAUUUAGAGGAGGCUGGGUUGCAGUAGUUUAUUACAGAUCAUUUAGAAGGAGGCUGGGUUGCAGUAGUUUAUUACAGAUCAUUUAGAGGAGGCUGGGUUGCUGUAGUUUAUCACAGAUCAUUUAGAGGAGGCUGGGAUGCUGUAGUUUAUUACAGAUCAUUUAGAAGGAGGCUGGGUUGCAGUAGUUUAUUACAGAUCAUUUAGAGGAGGCUGGGUUGCAGUAGUUUAUUACAGAUCAUUUAGAGGAGGCUGGGUUGCUGUAGUUUAUCACAGAUCAUUUAGAGGAGGCUGGGUUGCUGUAGUUUAUCACAGAUCAUUUAGAGGAGGCUGGGUUGCUGUAGUUUAUUACAGAUCAUUUAGAGGAGGCUGGGUUGCUGUAGUUUAUCACAGAUCAUUUAGAGGAGGCUGGGUUGCUGUAGUUUAUCACAGAUCAUUUAGAGGAGGCUGGGUUGCAGUAGUUUAUUACAGAUCAUUUAGAGGAGGCUGGGUUGCAGUAGUUUAUUACAGAUCAUUUAGAGGAGGCUGGGUUGCUGUAGUUUAUCACAGAUCAUUUAGAGGAGGCUGGGUUGCAGUAGUUUAUCAGAGAUCAUUUAGAGGAGGCUGGGUUGCUGUAGUUUAUCACAGAUCAUUUAGAAGGAGGCUGGGUUGCUGUAGUUUAUCACAGAUCAUUUAAUUCCAAACAAAAUGGGGUGAUUAUUCUGAAAAACAAAAUACUUGUAAUGUUGAAGCAACACUCUGAUGAGUCCGGCAGUCUUAUCUGCAUUGAGGCUCUUAUAAAUGGGACUAAGGUAGUGUUAUGCAACAUUAAUGCUCCCAACAAGGAGGACCCUGAUGUUUUUCAUGACGUCAACGUUAUACUAGGAAAUAUGGAGGGGCAGAUCGUCCUUCCUGGAGACUUCAACCUUCAUCUAACGGGCAGAUCGUCCUUCCUGGAGACUUUAACCUUCAUCUAUAAUGGGCAGAUCGUCCUUAAUUGAGAAUUUGACCAAGUGAUGGACAAUAUGAUUGACAGAAGUCAAUUUACAGGUAACUCCAUGCCAAAGGAUAGACUUGCAAUACAUAUGCUAGCAGAAGAUAUGGGCCUUACAGACAUAUGGAGAUCAGUCCAUCCUAAUGAUAGAGAAUAUACUUUUUUCUCCCACUGUCAUAAGACACACUCCAGAAAAGAUUUCUUCCUGAUAUCCAAUUUCAUGGUUAAUAAUGUGAUUGAUUGCAAGAUUGGUCCCAUUGUCCUCACAGAUCAUGCUAUAGUAGAGUUACAUGUUGAUAUAAACUCAGUUUUGAUAUAAAUGUGAGGAAGGGUAGAUUUAGACUGAACACCAUGCUGUUACAAGAUGAGAUAUUUAGCCAGUCACUAGCAGAUGAUCUUAGAUCCUUUUUUGAGAUCAACAUACAGUGCCAGUCAAAAGUUUGGACACACCUACUCAUUCCAGGGUUUUUUCUUUAUUUCUACUAUUUUCUACCUUGUAGAAUAAUAGUGAAGACAUCAGGUGUAAAAUAACACAUGUAGAAUCAUGUAGUAACUAACAAAAGUGAUACACAAAUAAAAAUAUAUAUUUUAUAUUUGAGAUUCUUCAAAGUAGCCAUCCUUUGCCUUGAUGAUAGCUUU
rnacentral:lncRNA from 1 species